rnacentral:rRNA from 1 species
AUGAACGCUGGCGGCGUGCCUAAUACACGCAAGUCGUGCGAACAGACGAGGAGCUUGCUCCUCUGACGUUAGCGGCGGACGGGUGAGUAACACGUGGAUAACCUACCUAUAAGACUGGGAUAACUUCGGGAAACCGGAGCUAAUACCGGAUAAUAUAUUGAACCGCAUGGUUCAAUAGUGAAAGACGGUUUUGCUGUCACUUAUAGAUGGAUCCGCGCCGCAUUAGCUAGUUGGUAAGGUAACGGCUUACCAAGGCAACGAUGCGUAGCCGACCUGAGAGGGUGAUCGGCCACACUGGAACUGAGACACGGUCCAGACUCCUACGGGAGGCAGCAGUAGGGAAUCUUCCGCAAUGGGCGAAAGCCUGACGGAGCAACGCCGCGUGAGUGAUGAAGGUCUUCGGAUCGUAAAACUCUGUUAUUAGGGAAGAACAAAUGUGUAAGUAACUAUGCACGUCUUGACGGUACCUAAUCAGAAAGCCACGGCUAACUACGUG